rnacentral:lncRNA from 1 species
CUUAUCAAGAAUCCUGCCUUUCCUGUUGCAGAGCAGAAAUAAACAAAAUCAAGAAAUCUCCGAUGCUCACACCAUUUUAACAGGUUUGGCCAAUACAACAGAGAAAUGAAAACCAACAAGCCAACAGAUGUCCCCCACCAAUCCAGGAAUGAGUGAAUUCUUGCUCUGUUAGGUCCUAUGAGAGUUCCCUCAAGAGCUGGUUGUUAAAAAGAGCCUAGGACCUCUUCCCUCUCUUGCUUCCUCUCUUGCCUUGUGAUCUUCACAUCCUGACUCUCCUUCACCUUCCACUGUGAGUGGAAAUUUCCUGAGGCUCUCACAAGAAGCAGAUGUCGGCACCAUGCUUCUUUUACAGUCUUCAGAGUCCUGAGAACAAAGUCUAAAUCCUAGGAUUGCUUGACAUUCUGUUACUGACAGUCUGCAGUCUCAAGACUUUCAGGAUAAUAGUUCCAAAGGAAUGUUAUCUAUACGUUUUUUCUGAGUAAACACUUCCAUUUCAAGCAAAA